CUAAUAGCUAGUUGCUAAAAUUAGUCGAGAGGUUUAGAAUGGAUCAACUAAUUGUUAGCUAUACCCCUCAAAUAAGUAUUAGUUGUUAGAUGCCCCAACCCAGCUAAAACCAGUUAACAGUUAGCUCUAGAGGUUUAGAACAUGGCAUAAAACAAUCAUGUUAUGAGCCUGCUCGCUGGAUCCUCUCGGUCCAGUCCUUGCAUCUACCAGUCUAACUCUAAUCUUCCCGACACCACCUAAAUCAGUUUGCUCGCUGCCCCGUUUCUGUCACCGACCCAUUAUCGAUGCGACGCCACCCGACUUCGCCCCUUCCUGUCGCCUCCGUUCCUUGUUCUGUUUUUACCGUGACGUCAAUCCGCUCGACAAGCUAGAUCUCGCUCGUCACAACGAUAUGAUUUGUCCCCUGCGGUCGGCGGAAUUGGCGAACUCUCAUGUGGUCUUUUUGGCUCCCCUGAAUUUUCAACCUGCGUCCGCCACUGCGGUCGUAGUUGUAGACGUUGGGACGACUUCAUGUUCUUUUGGCCGUUAGAUGAGGAAUCUGCGGUCAAAAUGAAAAGUGCUGUCGUGGACGUACAUAAGAGUAGAUUUCCGUUCUGAUUUAAUAAUAAGAAAAAAUGCGGACACUAUGAUAAAUUAACCUGUAGGAUGUUUGUUCAAUUUUUUAAAUCCUGCAGGCACUACCGGAGACGUUGCUCCAACACCUGCUGCCGCCGAGGCCUGAUUCCACAGCCAAAUGUCAGACAAAAAAUAGCAAUAAAAAAAACUGGCGCCACCCUUGAUGCCCAAAUAGAUCUUCUUUCUUCGGAGUUAUUCUUUAAUUAUUUUAGGGAUUGUAAAAUCUCAUAUGAGACCCAAGGUCAUCCAUGCUAAUUAGAAUGCCAGAAAUUUAGGACGAUGUUUACUAUACAAUCAAGUGGUUGAUGAUGCCUGGGAACCAUGACAUUUCGUCCAUGCUAAUUAGAAUUCAAAAGAUUUAGGGCCAUGUUUACUAUAUAAUCAAGUGCCUUGUGAUGCCUGGGAACCAUGGGAUUUUUUUAAUCAUUUUUUUUCAAUUUUAUGAUUGUGGAAGUACAUAACAUUAUAAUCAUGAUUAAAGCUAAUAUUUUGCUGGUUCGGUUUGUGUCAUAUUCCCCGGUACAUUUUGGAGCAUGUAAAUGGCAGCCACUCCGUGGCAGAGAGUCCUUAAUCUCUACUACUCCUUAAGAGUAUAGUGUAGGCGUCCACAAUUCACCCUGGUGCACGGUUCUGCCUAUGCCGUGGAUGGAAGGUUGCGCAUGGCCCGCUCGACCACACCCCUGACCGGAUCCGCCCUGCGCAUGCUCGCCAGAAUCGCCGUAGGCACUCUCUACCCCGACGCCCGCCACCCAAACCCUAGAAGCCCCACCCGCUUCCUUGUCGCCCCCAAACGCAGCGGAUCCGGUCGCGGCCACGGCGGGCGGAUCCGGCCGAAGAUCCUGCCGCCCCCAAACGCAGUGGAUCCGGUCGCGGCCACGGCGGGCGGAUCCGGUCGGAGAUCCUGCACAUGGGAGCGACGAGGACCGCCCCCGCCCACUCCUCCGGCCGUGUGCGGAGGUGGACGAGCAGGCAGAUGACCCCGCCCAUGGACACCCGGAACAGGAAGCAGGGCGAGGGUCCGGCGUGAAAAGGAGCCGACGAAUCCACCUACCCACAUUCGGGCUCCAGCGCCACCCCGUGCCAUCGGGCUGCGUCCGCUAACCACCUCUGGGAUGGAGGCGGAGGAAGGCGUGAUGGCGACGGACUUCUUCUGGUCGUACACGGACGAGCUGCACGCGUCGCGCCGCCGGGAGAUCCUGGCCAAGUACCCGCAGAUUAAGGAGCUCUUCCGCCCGGAUCCGUGGGCCUUCCUCAAGGUGUUGUGAUCUGCUUUCUUUGCGGCUUGCUCUUUGCGUCUGUUAAUUUCUUUCUCCUGUGAUUCUGUGUGUGCAAUGCGGAAUAGAGGAUCCAGGAUUCAGCUCUCCAGAAAAUUUGACUAUAUUCACCAUACAUUCAAAGGAAUUCGUUUUGUUUCUUGAGUGGUUCACCACCUUC
rnacentral:lncRNA from 1 species